rnacentral:rRNA from 1 species
AAGGUAGCGAAAUUCCUUGUCGGGUAAGUUCCGACCUGCACGAAUGGCGUAACGAUCUCCACACUGUCUCGGCCAGAGACUCGGUGAAAUUGAAGUCGCGGUGAAAAUGCCGUGUACCCGCAGAAAGACGGAAAGACCCUGUGCACCUUUACUAUAGCUUGACAUUGGGAUUUGAGCCUGCAUGUGUAGCAUAGGUGGGAGGCUGUGAACUCUGUACGCCAGUAUGGAGGGAGCCAUCGUUGAAAUACCACCCUUGUUUGUUCAGGUCCCUAACUCUUCGCCGUGAUCCGGUAGGAGGACAGUGUCUGGUGGGUAGUUUGACUGGGGCGGUCGCCUCCCAAAAUGUAACGGAGGCAUGCAAAGGUUCCCUCAGGCUGAUUGGAAACCAGCCGUCGAGUGCAAACGCAAAAGGGAGCUUGACUGCAAGAGAGACAUCUCGAGCAGGUACGAAAGUAGGUGUUAGUGAUCCGGUGAUCCCGAAUGGAAGGGUCAUCGCUCAUUGGAUAAAAGGUACGCCGGGGAUAACAGGCUGAUCGCAUCCAAGAGUUCACAUCGACGAUGCGGUUUGGCACCUCGAUGUCGGCUCAUCACAUCCUGGGGCUGAAGCAGGUCCCAAGGGUACGGCUGUUCGCCGUUUAAAGUGGUACGCGAGCUGGGUUUAAAACGUCGUGAGACAGUUUGGUCCCUAUCUUCUGUGGGCGAAGGAGAAUUGAGAGGGCCUGUCCCUAGUACGAGAGGACCGGGAUGGACGCACCCCUGGUGAUCCUGUUGUCGCGCCAGCGGCAUAGCAGGGUAGCUAUGUGCGGAAGGGAUAACCGCUGAAAGCAUCUAAGCGGGAAGCCUGCCUCAAGAUAAGUUCUCCCCUCGAAAGAGCUGAAGGGCCCGGGUAGACUACCCGGUCGAUAGGCUGGAGGUGUAAGCGCGGCGACGUGCUCAGCUGACCAGUACUAAUAGCCCGAGCGGCUUAUUUUU